GGCCAAUGUUUCCAGAAAUGUUUUUGCUAUUAUUUUACUUUGGGUGCAAGAGAUUAUUUGUUGGCAAUGGGUGGGUUCCAGUUUAUUUGACUAAUGGUGGCCCAGUCACUGUUACGCCAUGCUGUGACCUUCUUGCACCCUCUAUUCUCUCAGACAGUUAUUGAAGGAGAAACCACCCAGAGUGACUCAGGGGAUUCGUACAUAACCGUAUAUCAGCUCCAAAAACACAAAUAGCAGCUCGGAUGACCGGCUGCCAUUUGCAAUCCGCUUUGCAUUAUGGGUAUCAGCAGUGGCGUCUCUAGGAUUAAUUUUUAGGGGGGGCAAAUGGUGGGCCUUGGACUAAAGUAGGGGGACACAUUUAACCCCGCCCUCACCACAGUUUGACCCCGC